CUAGCUUCGUGUGGACCUUCUCGACAUUGUACGGUGUCUGUGUGGAAAUUGUUGUUUCAUGUCCUAGUUAUCCUAAUUCCUAAUUUCCAAGUUUUCCUAAUUCAAAAUUCCCGGACUACGUACGAUCCUGUAUGAUGAAGCCGCUACAAAACAAAUGACAGUCAAUCGUUCCUAGCUUCAGUCAAAAUUAAUUGUGACAUUUGGUAGCCUCUAGAAUUAAGAUUAAAUUCAAUAACUUAUGAGUGAUGAUAAUUGGAAUAAUUCAAUGUAAAAAUAGAGAUGGCCCGAUAUUUUAAAAUUCAGUCAGCUGUUACCAUGUUGCAAAAAUUACAGAAUGUUUUCAGUAGUAAAGAAAUCGUGUCGAAUUAUCAUACACUAUCCUCCGCGUAUUAUCGCAGUCAGACUUUUUCAAACCCAUUAAAGAGGCGUUACUUAUCGAGCAAUAAAGACUCAAAACAAUCUGGCGCGGGAAAAUCAAAUUCCUGCAAUUCUACAAGUUGCCAAAGUACGCCGGAUAAAUGGCCAACGGGAAACAGAGCCAAUUUUCACUUUCAUCCGGAAUUGGAAUCCAUUUUGAAUGAACAACUUAAUGCUGAAUUAAAAGCCUUCUAUUACUACUUGUCAAUGGCAUCGUAUUUUGGCCGAGUUGAUGUUGCACUACCAGGAUGUGAAUCAUUUUUUAUGCAAAUGCAUCACGAGGAACACGAGCACGCUAUUCGAUUUUUGAAUUACAUUACAAUGCGAGGAGGUAUGGUGAAUUUGUAUUCGGUAAAUGGACCAGAAGAUCAAGAUUGGAAAUGCCCACUUAAUGCCUUUAAAACAGCUCUUCAAUUGGAAAUCGAUAUAUCUGACAAGCUCGUAUCUGUAAAUUGUGUUGCUGAGAAGUAUAAUGAUCUAAACGCCAGCGAUUUCAUAGUCACAGAAUUUAUGGAGGAUCAAAUGAAGAGUAUUAAUGAAAUGGCGAGACUUGUUACAGUUCUAUCAGGAGUUGGCGAUCAGGCGUUGGCACGAUUUAUGUUCGAUAAAGAUGUUCUGGAUCAUUAUGUUAAAUCCGAAUUUGACAUACUAAAAAAGCGGAACUUUGAUGCGUCGAAAGACUGUUUAAAGAAAAAACCAUGAUCUUUGAAGUUUUGUCAUAAUGAUGUUGUCGCAGCUACGAUCGAUAAUUCUUUUGAAAAUUUGGAACGUAAAGAAGUGGCUCUGGUGGAUGUCGUGCGUCAUUGAACUGAGCACAGCUGUCUGAGAAGAGGAGUAGUGGGAAAAGACGAAGGUCAUUCGGUGUCAUUCAGGGGUUAUCGGGCAUUCGGUGUGGUGCUAAAUUCGCAUUUUUUUA